AUACGGAGGAUCCAAGCGUUAUCCGGAUUUAUUGGGUUUAAAGGGUGCGCAGGCGGCUCUAUAAGUCAGUGGUGAAAUCUCCCGGCUCAACCGGGAAACUGCCAUUGAUACUGUAGGGCUAGAAUACAGACGAGGUAGGCGGAAUGUAGCAUGUAGCGGUGAAAUGCUUAGAUAUGCUACAGAACACCGAUCGCGAAGGCAGCUUACCAGACUGUUAUUGACGCUAAGGCACGAAAGCGUGGGGAGCGAACAGGAUUAGAUACCCUAGUAGUCC
rnacentral:rRNA from 1 species